rnacentral:lncRNA from 1 species
UAUGCUCAUCACUAAUAAGUAUUUCUUUCACAACUCUUACGUAAUUUUCUUACGAGUAACAAAUAUAAAAUGCGUCUCGAUUUUGACCUAAUGUUUCUCUAAACUAUUGUAUUAAUUAUUGAGAAAUUCUUGGAUUCACCCCCUAAGUGAAUUUAUAGGUUCACCAACCAAUAAGAAUUGGUUAUUUUAUAUACAGAUUUUUUUUUAAAAAGGAAACAAAAUAUUUAGAAUUUUUUUUUUUAAAAGAUAAAAAAUAAAUAAAUAAAUGUAAUAGCAAUAAAAUGAAUUUUUUUAACAUUGUUAAAGUCGUUCAUACUAAACCCUAUACCCUAAAUC